AGGCCAGGGAGGUAGUGGAGGGAGGAGGCCAGGGAGGUAGUGGAGGAUAGAGGCCAGGGAGGUAGUGGAGGGAAGGAGUUUACAUUUUUUUUUUUCAUAGGUAGAAUAAUAACAGCAUGUUAUUAUUGGUAGGUAGAGGGGUAGUGUCCCCAACAGCAUGUUAUUAUUGGUAGGUAGAGGGGUAGUGUCCCCAACAGCAUGUUAUUAUUGGUAGGUAGAGGGGUAGUGUCCCCAACAGCAUGUUAUUAUUGGUAGGUAGAGGGGCAGUGUCCCCAACAGCAUGUUAUUAUUGGUAGGUAGAGGGGCAGUGUCCCCAACAGCAUGUUAUUAUUGGUAGGUAGAGGGGCAGUGUCCCCAACAGCAUGUUAUUAUUGGUAGGUAGAGGGGCAGUGUCCCCAACAGCAUGUUAUUAUUGGUAGGUAGAGGGGCAGUGUCCCCAACAGCAUGUUAUUAUUGGUAGGUAGAGGGGUAGUGUCCCCAACAGCAUGUUAUUAUUGGUAGGUAGAGGGGUAGUGUCCCCAACAGCAUGUUAUUAUUGGUAGGUAGAGGGGUAGUGUCCCCAACAGCAUGUUAUUAUUGGUAGGUAGAGGGGCAGUGUCCCCAACAGCAUGUUAUUAUUGGUAGGUAGAGGGGUAGUGUCCCCAACAGCAUGUUAUUAUUGGUAGGUAGAGGGGUAGUGUCCCCAACAGCAUGUUAUUAUUGGUAGGUAGAGGGGUAGUGUCCCCAACAGCAUGUUAUUAUUGGUAGGUAGAGGGGUAGUGUCCCCAACAGCAUGUUAUUAUUGGUAGGCAGAGGGGUAGUGUCCCCAACAGCAUGUUAUUGGCUAUUGGAGGACUGGAGUUGGUAAACACUACAAUAGGAUAUGGUACGAUCCAAUAAUAACACUCUGUGUGU